AAAGAAAGAUUAAUACCUGAUGGUAUGAUGAGAUUGCAUGAUAGCAUCAUUAAAGAUUUAUCGGUGUACGAUGGGGAUGCGUUCCAUUAGGUAGUAGGCGGGGUAACGGCCCACCUAGCCAACGAUGGAUAGGGGUUCUGAGAGGAAGGUCCCCCACAUUGGAACUGAGACACGGUCCAAACUCCUACGGGAGGCAGCAGUGAGGAAUAUUGGUCAAUGGACGAGAGUCUGAACCAGCCAAGUAGCGUGAAGGAUGAAGGUCCUACGGAUUGUAAACUUCUUUUAUAAGGGAAUAAACCCUCCCACGUGUGGGAGCUUGUAUGUACCUUAUGAAUAAGCAUCGGCUAACUCCGUGCCAGCAGCCGCGGUAAUACGGAGGAUGCGAGCGUUAUCCGGAUUUAUUGGGUUUAAAGGGAGCGCAGACGGGUCGUUAAGUCAGCUGUGAAAGUUUGGGGCUCAACCUUAAAAUUGCAGUUGAUACUGGCGUCCUUGAGUGCGGUUGAGGUGUGCGGAAUUCGUGGUGUAGCGGUGAAAUGCUUAGAUAUCACGAAGAACUCCGAUUGCGAAGGCAGCACACUAAUCCGUAACUGACGUUCAUGCUCGAAAGUG
rnacentral:rRNA from 1 species